CAGCAGCCGCGGUAACACAGAGGGUGCGAGCGUUAAUCGGAUUUACUGGGCGUAAAGCGUGCGUAGGCGGCUAAUUGAGUCGGAUGUAAAAUCCCCGAGCUUAACUUGGGAAUUGCAUUCGAUACUGGUUAGCUAGAGUGUGGGAGAGGAUGGUAGAAUUCCAGGUGUAGCGGUGAAAUGCGUAGAGAUCUGGAGGAAUACCGAUGGCGAAGGCAGCCAUCUGGCCUAACACUGACGCUGAGGUACGAAAGCAUGGGGAGCAAACAGGAUUAGAUACCCGCGUAGUCCCUGUCUCUUAUAC
rnacentral:rRNA from 1 species